rnacentral:rRNA from 1 species
CGGGAGGCAGCAGUGGGGGAAUAUUGCACAAUGGGCGCUAAGCCUGAUGCAGCGACGCCGCGUUGGGGGAUGACGUCCUUUCGGGUUGUAAACUCCUUUCUAACCAUGACGAAGCUUUUUGUGACGGUAGUGGUAGAAGAAGCACCGGCUAACUACGUGCCAGCAGCCGCGGUAAUACGUAGGGUGCGAGCGUUGUCCGGAAUUACUGGGCGUAAAGAGCUCGUAGGUGGUUUGUCGCGUCGUCUGUGAAAUUCCGGGGCUUAACUCCGGGCGUGCAGGCGAUACGGGCAUAACUUGAGUACUGUAGGGGAGACUGGAAUUCCUGGUGUAGCGGUGAAAUGCGCAGAUAUCAGGAGGAACACCGAUGGCGAAGGCAGGUCUCUGGGCAGUUACUGACGCUGAGGAGCGAAAGCAUGGGUAGCGAACAGGAUUAGAUACCCUGGUAGUCCAUGCCGUAAACGGUGGGCGCUAGGUGUGGGGGUCUUCCACGACUUCCGUGCCGUAGCUAACGCAUUAAGCGCCCCGCCUGGGGAGUACGGCCGCAAGGCUAAAACUCAAAGGAAUUGACGGGGGCCCGCACAAGCGGCGGAGCAUGUGGAUUAAUUCGAUGCAACGCGAAGAACCUUACCUGGGCUUGACAUAUGCAGGAUCGGCACAGAGAUGUGUUUUCCCUUGUGGUCUGUAUACAGGUGGUGCAUGGUUGUCGUCAGCUCGUGUCGUGAGAUGUUGGGUUAAGUCCCGCAACGAGCGCAACCCUUGUCUUGUGUUGCCAGCACGUUAUGGUGGGGACUCGCGAGAGACUGCCGGGGUUAACUCGGAGGAAGGUGGGGAUGACGUCAAAUCAUCAUGCCCCUUAUGUCCAGGGCUUCACACAUGCUACAAUGGUCGGUACAGUGGGUUGCUACACCGUGAGGUGGUGCUAAUCCCUUUAAAGCCGGUCUCAGUUCGGA